CUAAUUUCCCCUUCACGGCUUCACAACUUCAGUACACAGAAUCACACACGCUUCGGCAAUCACAGCUUCACCGCGCUACAAAUCACUGAAUUUGCUAUUUUCUUGCACGGUUGCACUUCUCACUUUUUCCUCGCCAUCUCUUGCCAUCCGUAGCCUGCAGGAGCCCAGCAGCACGCCGGCAGUAUAGACGCAGGCGCAUAGCGCCUCAGCCAUGUGAUUGAGGAAAAUCAAGUUAAAAUCGAGGAGUUAAGCAAUGUAAGAAGGCAAGGGAGUAAUUGGGAAGUAAAAGGCUCAAUCAUAUGCUCAACCAAGCCCCCAAUGGCUUAAUUCAUCAGAACAAAAAAGACUUGGUUUGACAUGUGGUGUGAUCAGUAAGUACAAGGGGCGACCAACUCAGAAAAGGUAGACUCCAAGGUUCAUACUGAAAGUGAGAUGCUGCAAGGUUCGACCAACUGCUCGACUAGGUGACCCUGAGGUGCGACUAAGUCGGCUGAGCUGAGACUGACUAAGCCAAAAGUCCUAAGAGUCUCGACCAUCAGUGCGACGAGGUCGAGAAGAAAUCCUGAAGACUAAACCUGAGAAUUCUCAAGAGUCUCAACCAGGGCGCGACCAUGGGAAGAUAGGGUGUGACCUAGUCAACAGACGUGAGCCCAGCAAUCUUCGUUGCGAGAUUUUCUGCAAAAAGUUUCUUGAUUUGAAUUUGAAUGCUUGUAAACCCUUUUGGUCAUAAAACCUAGCUUCGACUAUGUGCCUGGGAUUCCCCUCGGCCCCUCUUUGAUUAAUGAUAGACCUAGAGUGUAUUUGGGUGCCACUCAGAGUAGAUUUUGCUUUCUUUUCAAUUCCUUGUAUUGGUUCGUGCUUGGAUUCUUCGAAGACCUAUGACAACCUUCGAGUUCCAGGUGCAGCUGCAUAGAUUAGCCAGCUAUUGAUUGUAUUCCCAAUCGCUAGUGAUAGGAAUUCAAGCUGCAAUUAAAGCCAUUUUUCAA